UACGGAGGGUGCAAGCGUUGUCCGGAAUCACUGGGCGUAAAGGGCGCGUAGGCGGCUCAUGAAGGCUGUGGUGAAAGUCCGGGGCUCAACCUCGGAUCGGCCGUGGCGAUUCGUGGGCUGGAGCACUGUAGAGGCGGGUGGAAUUCCGGGUGUAGCGGUGGAAUGCGUAGAGAUCCGGAAGAACACCAGUGGCGAAGGCGGCCCGCUGGGCAGUGGCUGACGCUGAGGCGCGACAGCGUGGGGAGCAAACAGG
rnacentral:rRNA from 1 species